GUGGGAUGAUUGAGAGUCAGAGGUUUCGCUUUAAAAAGCUGAACUCCUGUGAUGUCAAUCCUCUUGGCUGUCUGACCAC